rnacentral:rRNA from 1 species
CGGACGGGUGAGUAACGCGUGGAAAACCUGCCGUAUACUGGGGGAUAACACUUAGAAAUAGGUGCUAAUACCGCAUAAGCGCACAGCUUCGCAUGAAGCGGUGUGAAAAACUCUGGUGGUAUACGAUGGUUCCGCGUCUGAUUAGCUAGUUGGUGGGGUAAUGGCCUACCAAGGCAACGAUCAGUAGCCGGCCUGAGAGGGUGAACCGGCCACAUUGGGACUGAGACACGGCCCAACUCCUACGGGAGGCAGCAG